rnacentral:rRNA from 1 species
UACCCGGGAAACCGGAGCUAAUACCGGAUAAUAUUCGAACCGCAUGGUUCGAUAGUGAAAGGUGGUUUUGCUAUCACUUAUAGAUGGACCCGCGCCGUAUUAGCUAGUUGGUAAGGUAACGGCUUACCAAGGCGACGAUACGUAGCCGACCUGAGAGGGUGAUCGGCCACACUGGAACUGAGACACGGUCCAGACUCCUACGGGAGGCAGCAGC